AUGAAUCUCAACGCUGUUCUCUAGAGGCCUAUAUUUCAACUGCUACGUCAAAGGUAGCCAAGAAGAGUACUGAGGUCUUCUCCAAGCACUAUGAAGAUGGAUGUUAAAUCAGACUGAGUCUGAGUUAUACAAAGACAUACAGAUGCUAUUCAACCAACUUCCUAUUGACCAGUACUACAGUAAGUAUU